GGUCAAGUGAAGAAGCGCAUACGGUGGAUGCCUUGGCAGUCAGAGGCGAUGAAAGACGUGGUAGCCUGCGAAAAGCUUCGGGGAGUCGGCAAACAGACUUUGAUCCGGAGAUCUCUGAAUGGGGGAACCCACCUAGGAUAACCUAGGUAUCUUGUACUGAAUCCAUAGGUGCAAGAGGCGAACCAGGGGAACUGAAACAUCUAAGUACCCUGAGGAAAAGAAAUCAACCGAGAUUCCCUUAGUAGUGGCGAGCGAACGGGGAUUAGCCCUUAAGCUUCAUUGAUUUUAGCGGAACGCUCUGGAAAGUGCGGCCAUAGUGGGUGAUAGCCCCGUACGCGAAAGGAUCUUUGAAGUGAAAUCGAGUAGGACGGAGCACGAGAAACUUUGUCUGAACAUGGGGGGACCAUCCUCCAAGGCUAAAUACUACUGACUGACCGAUAGUGAACCAGUACCGUGAGGGAAAGGCGAAAAGAACCCCGGAGAGGGGAGUGAAAUAGAACCUGAAACCGUAUGCGUACAAGCAGUGGGAGCCUACUUGUUAGGUGACUGCGUACCUUUUGUAUAAUGGGUCAGCGACUUAUAUUCAGUGGCAAGCUUAACCGUAUAGGGUAGGCGUAGCGAAAGCGAGUCUUAAUAGGGCGUUUAGUCGCUGGGUAUAGACCCGAAACCGGGCGAUCUAUCCAUGAGCAGGUUGAAGGUUAGGUAACACUGACUGGAGGACCGAACCCACUCCCGUUGAAAAGGUAGGGGAUGACUUGUGGAUCGGAGUGAAAGGCUAAUCAAGCUCGGAGAUAGCUGGUUCUCCUCGAAAGCUAUUUAGGUAGCGCCUCAUGUAUCACUCUGGGGGGUAGAGCACUGUUUCGGCUAGGGGGUCAUCCCGACUUACCAAACCGAUGCAAACUCCGAAUACCCAGAAGUGCCGAGCAUGGGAGACACACGGCGGGUGCUAACGUCCGUCGUGAAAAGGGAAACAACCCAGACCGCCAGCUAAGGUCCCAAAGUUGUGGUUAAGUGGUAAACGAUGUGGGAAGGCUUAGACAGCUAGGAGGUUGGCUUAGAAGCAGCCACCCUUUAAAGAAAGCGUAAUAGCUCACUAGUCGAGUCGGCCUGCGCGGAAGAUGUAACGGGGCUCAAACCACACACCGAAGCUGCGGGUGUCACGUAAGUGACGCGGUAGAGGAGCGUUCUGUAAGCCUGUGAAGGUGAGUUGAGAAGCUUGCUGGAGGUAUCAGAAGUGCGAAUGCUGACAUGAGUAACGACAAUGGGUGUGAAAAACACCCACGCCGAAAGACCAAGGGUUCCUGCGCAACGUUAAUCGACGCAGGGUUAGUCGGUUCCUAAGGCGAGGCUGAAAAGCGUAGUCGAUGGGAAACAGGUUAAUAUUCCUGUACUUCUGGUUACUGCGAUGGAGGGACGGAGAAGGCUAGGCCAGCUUGGCGUUGGUUGUCCAAGUUUAAGGUGGUAGGCUGAAAUCUUAGGUAAAUCCGGGGUUUCAAGGCCGAGAGCUGAUGACGAGUCGUCUUUUAGAUGACGAAGUGGUUGAUGCCAUGCUUCCAAGAAAAGCUUCUAAGCUUCAGGUAACCAGGAACCGUACCCCAAACCGACACAGGUGGUCGGGUAGAGAAUACCAAGGCGCUUGAGAGAACUCGGGUGAAGGAACUAGGCAAAAUGGCACCGUAACUUCGGGAGAAGGUGCGCCGGCUAGGGUGAAGGAUUUACUCCGUAAGCUCUGGCUGGUCGAAGAUACCAGGCCGCUGCGACUGUUUAUUAAAAACACAGCACUCUGCAAACACGAAAGUGGACGUAUAGGGUGUGACGCCUGCCCGGUGCCGGAAGGUUAAUUGAUGGGGUUAGCGCAAGCGAAGCUCUUGAUCGAAGCCCCGGUAAACGGCGGCCGUAACUAUAACGGUCCUAAGGUAGCGAAAUUCCUUGUCGGGUAAGUUCCGACCUGCACGAAUGGCGUAACGAUGGCGGCGCUGUCUCCACCCGAGACUCAGUGAAAUUGAAAUCGCUGUGAAGAUGCAGUGUAUCCGCGGCUAGACGGCAAGACCCCGUGAACCUUUACUGUAGCUUUGCACUGGACUUUGAGCCUGCUUGUGUAGGAUAGGUGGGAGGCUUUGAAGCGUGGACGCCAGUUCGCGUGGAGCCAUCCUUGAAAUACCACCCUGGCAUGCUUGAGGUUCUAACUCUGGUCCGUAAUCCGGAUCGAGGACAGUGUAUGGUGGGCAGUUUGACUGGGGCGGUCUCCUCCUAAAGAGUAACGGAGGAGUACGAAGGUGCGCUCAGACCGGUCGGAAAUCGGUCGCAGAGUAUAAAGGCAAAAGCGCGCUUGACUGCGAGACAGACACGUCGAGCAGGUACGAAAGUAGGUCUUAGUGAUCCGGUGGUUCUGUAUGGAAGGGCCAUCGCUCAACGGAUAAAAGGUACUCCGGGGAUAACAGGCUGAUACCGCCCAAGAGUUCAUAUCGACGGCGGUGUUUGGCACCUCGAUGUCGGCUCAUCACAUCCUGGGGCUGAAGCCGGUCCCAAGGGUAUGGCUGUUCGCCAUUUAAAGUGGUACGCGAGCUGGGUUUAGAACGUCGUGAGACAGUUCGGUCCCUAUCUGCCGUGGACGUUUGAGAUUUGAGAGGGGCUGCUCCUAGUACGAGAGGACCGGAGUGGACGAACCUCUGGUGUUCCGGUUGUCACGCCAGUGGCAUUGCCGGGUAGCUAUGUUCGGAAAAGAUAACCGCUGAAAGCAUCUAAGCGGGAAACUUGCCUCAAGAUGAGAUCUCACUGGGAACUUGAUUCCCCUGAAGGGCCGUCGAAGACUACGACGUUGAUAGGCUGGGUGUGUAAGCGUUGUGAGGCGUUGAGCUAACCAGUACUAAUUGCCCGUGAGGCUUGACCAU
rnacentral:rRNA from 1 species